rnacentral:rRNA from 1 species
GUCAAAUGAUUAAGGGCAUACGGCGGAUACCUAGGCACCUAGAGACGAUGAAAGGCGCAGUACCCGGCGAUACGCCUUGGGGAGCCGGACACAGGCCAUGAUCCAAGGAUUCCUGAAUGGGACAACCCAAGUACUUCUCAUUGAAUUCAUAGAUGAGAAAGAGAUAACCUAGUGAAUUGAAACAUCUUAGUAGCUAGAGGAAAAGAGAGCAAACGCGAUUUCCUGAGUAGCGGCGAGCGAAACGGAACGAGCCUAAACCAAAACUAUGUUUUGGGGUUGUGGGACAGAAACUAAUAUUAUAGUUUGACUUUGUUAGAUGAAGCGAUUGAAUGUCGCGCCAUAGAUGGUGAAAGCCCAGUAAUCAAAAACAAAACUCUAUAACUUCUGAUCCCGAGUAGCAUGGGGCACGUGAAAUCCCGUGUGAAUCCGCGAGGACCACCUCGUAAGGCUAAAUACUCCUAGGUGACCGAUAGCGAAUAGUACCGCGAGGGAACGGUGAAAGAGUACCCUAAUCAGGGAGUGAAAUAGAACAUGAAACCGUAUGCUUACAAGCAGUAGGAGGCAU